CCUACGGGGGGCAGCAGUGAGGAAUAUUGGUCAAUGGGCGCAGGCCUGAACCAGCCAAGUCGCGUGAGGGAAGACUGCCCUAUGGGUUGUAAACCUCUUUUAUAAGGGAAGAAUAAUGACUACGUGUAGUCAGAUGCCCGUACCUUAUGAAUAAGCAUCGGCUAACUCCGUGCCAGCAGCCGCGGUAAUACGGAGGAUGCGAGCGUUAUCCGGAUUUAUUGGGUUUAAAGGGUGCGUAGGCGGGAUGCCAAGUCAGCGGUAAAAAUGCGGUGCUCAACGCCGUCGAGCCGUUGAAACUGGCGUUCUUGAGUGGGCGAGAAGUAUGCGGAAUGCGUGGUGUAGCGGUGAAAUGCAUAGAUAUCACGCAGAACUCCGAUUGCGAAGGCAGCAUACCGGCGCCCUACUGACGCUGAGGCACGAAAGCGUGGGUAUCGAACAGGAUUAGAUACCCUUGUAGUC
rnacentral:rRNA from 1 species